rnacentral:snRNA from 1 species
AGCUUUGUGCAGUGGCAGUAUCAAAGCCAAUGAGGUUUAUCCAAGGCACGAUUAUUGCUAAUUAAAAUCAGUAUGGUACUG